rnacentral:rRNA from 1 species
UACGUAGGUGGCAAGCGUUGUCCGGAUUUACUGGGCGUAAAGAGCGCGCAGGCGGUCGUACAAGUCGCGUGUGAAAGCCCCCGGCUCAACUGGGGAGGGUCACGCGAUACUGAUCGACUCGAAGGCAGGAGAGGGUAGUGGAAUUCCCGGUGUAGUGGUGAAAUGCGUAGAUAUCGGGAGGAACACCAGUGGCGAAGGCGACUACCUGGCCUGUUCUUGACGCUGAGGCGCGAAAGCUAGGGGAGCAAACGGG